GCCGACUUAGCUCAGCUGGUAGAGCAGCUCACUCGUAACGAGCAGGUCACAGGUUCGAAUCCUGCAGUCGGCA
rnacentral:tRNA from 1 species